CUCCACUCUCAGUCACCAAGAACUCAUGCUACCUCUACCAUCUUCUUAUUUUUCUUGUGUGCUUUCUAAUUCUCGGUGUUGUAUGCAGUUCUUUUUUUUUUACAAUCUAUUUUACAAUCGUUUUUCGGAUCUCGUCGUGGGGUCGGUAUGGGUGUCGGCGUCGUCCGCGUCGGAGGGCUUCCGAUUGUUUUUCCACCCCUUCCUGUCCUCUCUUCGCUUCUCGUAUUGAAUAGGAAUCAUUUUCCUCCAUUAACCUGAACACUUGCACUUUUCACUCACACCUUUUAACUAUCAUUGUGUCCUGUUUUUCUAUAUUUCUUUUCUCUCGCUCUUUUUUUAGUUAUAAUCUAAGUUACGGGUCGCAAAGUUUUUAAUCCCGACCCUGUGUAUGGACACGUUCACACUCCGAGGUCAAGCUGGAUCUGGAUUGUGUUUGAUUUUAGCCUUAAAUUAAAAAAAAAAAAAUCCUCAAUAUCUAUAUCUAGUUUCCAAGUCUUUCUCUAUAUACAAUCCUGCGAAUGUGUGUACACGUGUGUGUGCGAGUGUGUGUGCUUGUGCUCCAGCUGCCGCGCUUUAACCUCCGCGCUCUCCCCGCGUUCGAGCGCUCUCUGUGCCGCCUGUGUCAUGACGGAGACCCGGGGCUUCCUUCCGUCUUUCUUCCUGACAUACACACACGCGCGCGCGCACGCACACACACACACACACACACUCUCUCUCUUUACACUAAACAUUCUCUCACACACACAUCCACACGCACACACACACACACAAUCGAUCUGCGAGCGAGCAAAGCAAAGGAAUCGUUUCGAAGAAAUAAUGAUUAUAUAGUAGUUAUAAUAAUAAUAAUAAUAAUAAUAAUAAUAAUAAUAAAAGAAUAAUAGAAACUAAGUGACGCCGAGGGGGAAAAGUGAAGAGAGGAACUGAAAUUCAAAGCAGGGCGGAGAGAAAACGCCACUAAAACCGCUGUGUAUCUGUGUGUGUGUGUGUGUGUGUGUUGGGGAGAAAAGUAGCAAAAUGGGUGCAGAAACUGGGGAAAAGGGAAUAUCGGAUACGAUAUGGACGUCUGAAAAAGACAGCAGAAUGAAAGGGAUAAGAAAGAGGAUGAGGUGUUUGGGGUGGGGGGGUUGUGGUGUGUGUGUGUGUGUGUAUAUGUAUGUGUGUGUGUGUGUGUGUGUGUGUGUGUGUGUGUGUGUGGGGGGGGUGUAUUACUACGCUACUACGUUUGAUGAAGACCGGACGCGGACGGAGCAGCGGGCCGGACUGACGCGCUCGUUUUCCGGCUUGGCAGCAGGCUGAGCUCCCGCCGGCCCCCCGGCUACACUACGGACACGCUUUACCGUCUACACCGCGUCCAAAGCACACACUCGCCCACCGUUCUGCCGGGGCUCGGAGUCGCCGAAACGCACAAAUGCAUUCGAAAUCAGUGGUUUGUGCUCAACUAAUAACCAUAAGAGGGGCGCGGAAUUAAAAAAAAACGCAUUUAUUUGCCUCUUUUUUUCCCUUCUUUGCUUUCGCGAGAAGAAGAGGAAGCAGGAGAAGAAGCGAGGACGAAGCCCGAGAUGUAAACACAGAACGACAGCGAGAAACCGGGGGCUCACUGGGUUACUACACAACUUCGCCAUACUUUCACAUACUUCUGAUAGGAUUCUCAAAACAGUAGAGCAUGUUUAUUUUAUAUUACUUAUGCAUUUAUGUUUUCCUUUUCCAUUUUCUGUUUCAGUGGACAAACAACAGAAUAUGUCUACAACCAAGUGUAAUUACACGUUAUUAGCUGCUUAGUGUUUUCAAAGCGGCUCCCAUUGAGCUUAUUAUAUUUAUGUAAUGAAUUAUGAAGAAAACACUCGGACUGCAAAAUGCACAGGCAGACAUUUUCUUAAAAAUGUUUAUAUAUAUAUAUAUAUAUAUAUAUAUAUAUAUAUAUAUAUAUAUAUAUAUAUAUAUAUAGGCAUAGAGAAUCAAAGAUGACCAUUUUCUCUGACUUUUUUAUACAUAAAAUUGCUUUAAUAGUAUUCACUGAUUUCUAAUGUACUGUAUCUUCUACAAAAUGUGCAUUAACAUUGUCGAUGCUUGUGUAGAUUUUGUAGCUCUUUUUCUAUAUAAAAUAAAAAAGCAAUGUACCACAA